UACAGAGGUGGCAAGCGUUGUUCGGAAUUACUGGGCGUAAAGGGCGCGUAGGCGGCCUACUAAGUCAGACGUGAAAUCCCCAGGCUUAACUUGGGAACUGCGUCUGAUACUGGAGAGCUUGAGUCCGGGAGAGGUGAGUGGAACUCCGAGUGUAGAGGUGAAAUUCGUAGAUAUUCGGAAGAACACCAGUGGCGAAGGCGGCUCACUGGCCCGGUACUGACGCUGAGGUGCGAAAGCGUGGGGAGCAAACAGG
rnacentral:rRNA from 1 species